rnacentral:rRNA from 1 species
GAUGAACGCUGGCGGCGUGCCUAAUACAUGCAAGUCGAGCGAACAGACGAGGAGCUUGCUCCUCUGACGUUAGCGGCGGACGGGUGAGUAACACGUGGAUAACCUACCUAUAAGACUGGGAUAACUUCGGGAAACCGGAGCUAAUACCGGAUAAUAUAUUGAACCGCAUGGUUCAAUAGUGAAAGACGGUUUUGCUGUCACUUAUAGAUGGAUCCGCGCCGCAUUAGCUAGUUGGUAAGGUAACGGCUUACCAAGGCAACGAUGCGUAGCCGACCUGAGAGGGUGAUCGGCCCCACUGGAACUGAGCCACGGUCCAGACUCCUACGGGAGGCAGCAGUAGGGAAUCUUCCGCAAUGGGAGAAAGCUUGACGGAGCAACGCCGCGUGAGUGAUGAAGGUCUUCGGAUCGUAAAACUAUGUUAUUAGGGAAGAACAAAUGUGUAAGUAACUAUGCACGUCUUGACGGUACCUAAUCAGAAAGCCACGGCUAACUACGUG